AUUGAACGCUGGCGGCAGGCCUAACACAUGCAAGUCGAGCGGAUGAAGGGAGCUUGCUCCUGGAUUCAGCGGCGGACGGGUGAGUAAUGCCUAGGAAUCUGCCUGGUAGUGGGGGAUAACGUCCGGAAACGGGCGCUAAUACCGCAUACGUCCUGAGGGCGAAAGUGUGGGAUCUUCGGACCUCACGCUAUCAGAUGAGCCUAGGUCGGAUUAGCUAGUUGGUGGGGUAAAGGCCUACCAAGGCGACGAUCCGUAACUGGUCUGAGAGGAUGAUCAGUCACACUGGAACUGAGACACGGUCCAGACUCCUACGGGAGGCAGCAGUGGGGAAUAUUGGACAAUGGGCGAAAGCCUGAUCCAGCCAUGCCGCGUGUGUGAAGAAGGUCUUCGGAUUGUAAAGCACUUUAAGUUGGGAGGAAGGGCAGUAAGUUAAUACCUUGCUGUUUUGACGUUACCAACAGAAUAAGCACCGGCUAACUUCGUG
rnacentral:rRNA from 1 species